GUUCCAAGCCUCUUUGAACUUCAGGAAAUUCUAAUCCAGAUCCAAAAUUCACAGCUGGAGCCCAGCGCCAGUAGUUAGGUUCUACUUACACUUACUCCAUGAAAGCAGAUAAAUUCCAUCAACCCAGCACAGCAAAAAGAAAUUUAAAUUUUGCCCACCCUACCAGACUUUAUGGACAUUACGAGAACUAAGAAGAUGAUGUCAUCAGAAAUAUGAUGCCCAUGAAACAAGUCCAGUGAAAGAUUGUCCCCUGGAUCUUCACACAUGAAAUCAUCUGGGAUGCCUGAGCUGAUACUCUUUGGAUUUGUUCAUUUGGUAUCUGGGAGCACAGCAUUCUCAAGGGAGGACCUCAACGCAGGAAUUUACUUCCCCUUGGUGCAACAGAAUCCAAGUUUGUUGACCUUGCAGGCAGAUUGCAAAACCUGUCUUGUAACUCAGCCUUUCUCUGAGAUGGGAUGAACUAAGCUGUGGGUGUUUAUCAAAGGGGCAGGAACUGUCAUUGAUUCUAUAUUUGUACCAUGCCUAGCAUAAUGGAAUCCAACUUGAUUGUGGCUUAUAGGCACUAUGACUAUAAAAAUUAUAAUAUAUACUGGCUUCGGAAGCUGCUCUUGAUGUGAGUUUUGAUGCUAUGUGUAGGCUGAUAUAUGCCAGCUGAGAAUCUAGCCUAUCUGCAUUGAAAUCAGUGAAGCUACAUUAAUUUAAACCAGUUAAGGACUUGACCUUGUAUGUCUGGAUGACUACUCUAGUUUGUGUUUUGAAAUGUCAUGUUUUGCACACCCAGCACAUUUAUGAUGG